rnacentral:lncRNA from 1 species
UAAAACCAUCAGAUCUCAUGAAACGUAUUCAGUAUCAUGAGACUAGCAUGGGAAUGACUGGUCCCCAUGAUUUAAUCACCACCAUCCCCAGGUCCCUCCCACAACAUGAGGGAAUUAUGGGAGAUACAAUUCAAGUUGAGAUUUGGGUGGGGACACAGCCAAACAAACCACACCACCGAGAUAAUAUAUUCUCUCUUCUUCUGUCUUUCUCUUGAAGCGUUGACAAAAGAGUAGUGUCAUGGCUGGGCUAGAUCUGAAAUGUUCAAAUAGAACUGUUUCCUUCAAAGUUGUAGAGCUCCUCUAGCAUCCAGAAGUUGGAAGUCAGUUUGACUUUUUGUCCGUGUUUGGCAGGCUGCUUCUUCCGUCUUCAGAUUUGGAAGGUUGUUACUCCAGCCACCUCACUGUGUCAUGUGUACCUAGGUGCUGUUCUUUCAUCAAAUUUGCCUGAUAAUGAGUGCUUUUGAUAUGCAGAUUUGGAUAUUUUUUGAGCUCCAGAACGUGUUCUAUUUAUGUCUUUGAAGAUUGCUUAUUUCCUGUGAAAACCAAGAGUUCCUUCCCAUUUGCAACCAAAGUGAAAUCAGUAUUUUCCAGCACAGUCAUUUCCCCCUCUGCAGGCCUGGCCAGGAUGCUGUCCCAGCCCUCCCUGCCUCCACGGCCCUGAUAUCCCCUGCCUGACUAGGUCGGCCUCCUCCCUGCUCCUGAAGACUGGCUCUGGAGAGGCUGUGGCCCCUGCCGUCCUCUCUGCCAUGGACAUUCUCCCCUCAGUCCUCUGCAAGGCUGCCUCUCACUCAAAUGCCAAGACAUUUCCAGAACAUCCUAGCUGAAGGGGCACUUGCCCAUCACAAGCCCCAGCCACGGGGUCUCACUCUUCUUAUGGCAUUAGUCAGUCACUGAGAUGAUCUUAUUUUUCUCAUAUUUUUAGCACCCUCCACCUGAGGGCAGGGGCUCUGUCCCCUUGCUCUCUGCUCUAGCCACAGUGCCUCAAACACAGCCUGGUAUGCAGCAGGCACCCUUGGGUAGGACACCUUUGGGUGGGGCUGCCUGACCCAACCCCACAGCAGAACCACCACUUCCCCACAUGCUGGGUGUCUAUGGUCUCACAAGCCCUCCCAUGUACCUGGUGCAAUUCUAGAUUCUUCUGAAACGAGCACCCGUGUUACUGCUGGGCUCUCCCAAAGGUUUGAAUCUGCUCAUUGCUACCAUCUUAUAACUCUGAUGCUGCUGGGUUUGUUGAAAAUACCACUUCCUCUUCUCAGCUCCCUGGGUUUUCUUCUCGCCUUUCCACCUGCUCCUUCUCUGUGUUCUCAUGAGUAAGAGCCCUCCAGCCAGCAGCAGCUCCCUGGCCUCUGCUUGAUUCUUGUACUCAGUCCUUUGAAAAAUAAGGUCUCCUCCCACCUGUUGCAGGAAACAUUAUUUCGGGGGUACAUCAGUGGUUGGCUGGCCUUCAGGUUGCUCUGAUUUGAACAAUCCUUGCUGCUUUUCUGCGUGCCCUGCUAGCAGAGCCCUAACUCUCACCUGCCGUUAAUUAUGCCUUAUCCCAUUGUGCAUCCUUUCCCUGCUGCCCCGCCCACCACCUGUGAAACGUCAGCUCCCUGAGGGCCUUUGUCCACUGCCAGAGCUCCCAUGGAGCAUGCGCCCAGCAAGCGCACGGAGAAUGUUUGUGAAUGAAGACAUGAAUGGACAAGUGAAUGAGUGCAUGGGCGGCAAGUAGCUCUCAUUGAGUCCUACAAGAUGUGGCCCCAAGGCCCUGUGACUUCUAUACCCACCACAUGCAAGCUCUGUCCCCCAGCAGCCACAGUGUCCCCUCCAGGCAGCCUCUAAUAAUGAAUGAAUGACUACAUGAAUGAAUGAAUGGUUAUCAAUUACUAAUUAGAAUUAGCAUCUUCUUUGACUCUUCGCUUACUGCUGUGAUUCAGUCCGGCCUUCAAGUACCCUCAGCUUGUUGCAGGUUCAGUGAUUGAAGUGGACAGACCCUCUAGAGGCCCUGUGAUCCUCACCCCCCAGAGUGACAUAUCCCCUUGAGUGUGGGUGGGCCUCUGACUUUGCCAUAGAUUAUGCAAAGGUGAUGAGAUGUCACUCUCAUGAUCAGGUCUCCUAAGAUUGAGACUCUGUCCUUGCUGAGACAGUCCCUCUUCACUUGCUCAGAAGAAGCAAGCUGCCCUGUUGUAGUGAACGGCCCUCAGGGGAGGGCGGGGCAGGAUAGUAAGGACCUAAGGCCUGGGCUGACGGCCUACAAGGGGCAGAAAGCUGCCAAAAACCACAUGAGCUUGGACUCUCCCAGCCGAGCCUCAGAUGAGACCCCAGCCCUGGUUGACGCUGGAUUCUAGCUUCACAGAGGACCUUGCUGGGCCUUGCCUGACUCAACCCACAGGAACACAACGUGUGCUGUUGGAAGAGGACAUGUCUCUGCAACACUGCUGUGCAGCCCUAGAUAACUAACACAGUGACCUGGUCACACAAAGCAAUGGUCAGGAUCCUGGGAUUGGGGAUUCCCAGCUCCAACAUAUCCCUUUCUGUUAACAGCACCUGCUCUGCCUGGGUCAGCCCCACUGGGGUGAGUCUCCUUCCAGCUCAGGGAUAGCCCUUUCUCUCUGGUCAGCAGCCACUUUACACAUGGCCCCUGCCGAGGCCCCAACCAUCUCUGCAGCUGCUGUGGCUGCUGCGUCUGUCUGUGGAGCUCAUGUAAACCCUGGGCAGAAGCCUUGGGCUAUGAGAAGGAAGAUGCCUUCUGCUUUCUGUGCAAAGGUGCUGCUGCCUGAGGCUCCUUGUCUGAACCCCAAAGGCUGUCACCUUCCUAACCCCCGAUUUAACCCCAAGAAAAGCUGUCCUCUGAGUCCCAUGGCCCUCCCUCCAAAGCUUCACUUCUCUCCAGGCCUACAGUGUCUGGGGCACAGGCUUUCUUCUACAUAUUAAUGCUUAAAGGCAUGAUUUGCUAGUCAUUUUUUUACAAAAUUUUGCAAAAAAUAAUUCCUCAAAUAUUCAGCCAUUUAGAUUACACAGGUUUUUGCAUACUUAUAUAUGUUCUGGGUCACUUUUCUUUUUACAGUUGGACACAGGAGGAAAGAAUCAAAUGUAUAUCUUCAUGCAUUUUCCCAGAACCAUAGAGAAUCCAUAUGGUGUGUAGUCUGCUAACAGUGAGAUAAACCCUCUGUUAUUAGUCUCUGAAAUUAAAUACGUAAAGAACCAGGCUCAGAAUUACCACCACCAAGCACGGGUGGAACCAAGUACUUUGUUAUUAAUCCCAUCUGUAUUUGCAUAUUCCAGUUGGGAAGACAGCUGUGUACAUUGUUAUCAUUGUCAUCAUCUCUGUCAUUAUUUUGAACGACAUUCAUUGAUCAUUUCCUAUAUGAGAGCGCCUCUGCAAGGAUAGAUAGAUGGGAGGAUUGACUUCUCUUUUAAAUCCCCAUAACAAUUUGGCACAAUUCAGUAAAUACACACUUUAUAGACUUCCUGAAACUGCCUGGCUGGGUGCUGGCCCUCUGUGGAUUUAUCGCUCACCCCUGACCUGAUCGUGUAUAAUGGGAAACUGCGUCGGCCUUUGGCUGGCUCAGAACAAAGGACCCACCUGUACCACAGCUGAGCUGAGAGAAUGGAGGCAUUUGUCCUUAACUCAGAACAGUCCCCAGACUUAUUGAUCUCAGAACCAAAUGUCAAAUACCCCACUUUCCGAAAUAAUUGUCUCUCUUGAAAGUUCUGUGCAAAUUGAAUUUUUAUAAAUCAAAUUGUAUUGUAAAGCCAGUAAAGAGAAGUGCUGCUUAUGGGAAGCUUGUUUGCCUUACUUUAUAAAUGGAAGCAAACCGUGCUAUGAAUAAGAGCUGUUAGUUAACUUUGCUUAUAAAGCCUUUUGAAAAUGUUCACUUUUUUUUUUUAUAAUAUUUGUUUUUUUGAAAGGGGGGUUGCCAGUUCUGCGACUGUAUGUUUGGAACAUCAAUGAAGCGGGGGCCUUGAGAGUAUCCGGAGUCGAAAAGGAUUUCCCAUUCCAGGGAAGGGUCUGGAAUAGUAAAGAAGGCAUGGCUUCUAGAGUCCUCUGCUAUCCCCUCAUGACACAUUGAUUGAGCACAGUCGGUGCCAGCCACCUUUCCAGUCUUGGUUCACUCCUGAGUCCAGUGGGUCUCCAGUGUGAGUGUGCACCACAGUCACCCGGGGGUCUAUCAAAACACAG